CGUCACGUGAUCCCUUCUUCCUCUCAGGAUCGAGCCGCUAGGGGAGCUGUCAAUCAACGGGGGCUGCCAUAGCGAUGCCUGCUGCUUAACUACGGUGGCCCAGUGGGAGGGCCUAGGGUGUCCAAACAACUCAAUCCCGUUUCCAGGAUUGGGCUCCUGUACCUUUAAUGGCUAUAUAAAAGUCCUCUUGGUUGCGUGACAAGCAACACCUACUGAACCUUUCUCUUCUACGCAGCCAUUUAAAGUUACAGGCGCCCUCUCCAGUUUACACGCUGGCAACCGCAAGGUAUUGUCGUAGGCUUUCGUGGCCGGAAUCACUGGGUUGCUGUACGAGCCUGGUGGCGCAGUGGGUUAAACCCUUGUGCCUGCAGGACUGAUUACUUGAAGGUUGGGUUGCUGACCUGAAGGUUGCCGGUUCGAAUCCAACCCGGGGAGAGCGCGGAUGAGCUUCCUCUAUCAGCUCCAGCUGCAUGCGGACACAUGAGUGAAGCCUCUCACCAGGAUGGUAAAAGCAUCCAAACAUCUGGGCGUCCCCUGGGUAACGUCCUUGUAGACGGCCAAUUCUCUCACACCAGAAGCGACUUGCAGUUUCUCAAGUCGCGCCUGGCACACACAGACACAAACUGGGUUGCUGUGAGUUUUCCGCGCUGUAUAGCUGUGUUCCAGAAGCAUUCUCUCCUGAAGUUUCAUCCACGUCUAUGGCAGGCAUCCUCAGAGGUGGUGAGAUCUGUUAGAAACUAGGCAAGUGGGAUUUCCCUUUCUGGGAAUCUCUGGAUCAGUGGUUCUCAACGUGGGGUCCCCAGAUGUUUUUGGCCUACAACUCCCAGAAAUCCCAGCCAGUUUACGGCUGUUAGGAUUUCUGUGAGUUGAAGGCCCAAAACAUCUGGGGACCCCAGGUUGAGAACCACAGCUCUAGAUCUUCCAGUGUGAUUCAGGCAGGAAACAGCCAGGCUUUGAAGCUGCAAGGCUUUUCAAUGUUAAUCAAGCUGGCCAAUUGCAACAUUCACACUUGCCUCAAACAGACGAAAGAGUUUUUUUUUUUCUCCCGCCCUGGACAUUAUUCAACAGAUAUAUAAACCCCACUUGCCUUGUUUCCAGCAGAUCUCAUAACCUCUGAUGCCUGCCACAGAUGUCGGCAAAACAUCAGGAGAGAAUGCUUCUGGAACAUGGCCAUACAGCCCGGAAAAUUCACAGCAACCCAACCGCAAGAAAUGGCUCCCAGUCCUUGAUGAACUUCUCUCCAUCAAACUUUAGAACAACUUCCUCUAAUCAUGUCAGAGGAUGUAGAGAUUUCUAGAGAUGACACCUUUCUGGAAAUCUCUAGAUCUUCCAGUGUGAUUCUAUGGUCAACUUCGUGUGGGAAGACUAAAAAUUCCUUGAGAUGUGUUCUCUAAGGUAAAAAAAAAUUGCAGUUUCCUUAUUUGCACUUUUUUCACAAGGGUGUGGUUCCCCUAAUCACAAUGAAUAUGGAGGCUGAUUACCUUACUGCACUAUUAAAAGUAGUUCAAACUAAUCCUAACCAUGUUUGGCAGAAAGAUGAGGAACGUUAGGGAAACAGAGGAGAAAAUAUUGUUUUGUUGUUUUCCUACAAGUUGUUUCUGACUUACGGCAACCUGAGGUGAACCGAUAACAGGGUUUCUUGACCCGAUUUAUUCAGAAGGUGUUUGCUUUGCCUUCUUCAGAAAUCUCAGACAAAGGCAAAGACAACACUUUGCUAGAUCAUAAUGAAAGUCAUUCUCUUUCCAACCCUUUUAUUAAAAUUGAGCCAAAUGUGAAAGGCUGUUCAGUGUUUUUGUCACAGUUUUAUGAUUAUUAAAUCAGUGGAAACAAUUUCCAUACAAGCGUGUGUAGCUCCAAUAAUGGUAUAGACUGCUUCUCUUUGAACUUCCCUGAUGGAUUUUAUAUUUGAUAGGAAGCUACUUACCUUUUCUCAUGGGUGGUUUUCUCCCAAAUAAGGGAAGUAAAAAAUUAUUCAAAGAGAGUUUGUUUAGUACAGAUGUUACUGAGUCCACCUCCCCUAUACGUGAUGAGGCCCAACAUCAGAUUCACCUUUGCUUUUAAAAGUAGCUAAUCCAAAUCUUAGAAACAAUGUGUGCAAACAUUACACAUUUGAGAAUGGGCUAUGCAAACUAGGCAAUUUGAAGAUCUGCAGAUAAGAAACUACUUUUCUAACCUUUGAAUUAACCUGUAUUAGGCAUCUUUGGCUACAUAUUUGUGGCCAAGGGGAACCGAACACUAGCCAAGCCCUUUUCUUUGGAGUGAUCUACCCUUUGUUUUCAAACCUUUGUACCAAAGGGUAAGACAUCACUAGCUCCUGGCCAAGAAGUGAUGACUUGCGUGCGCUUUAGGCAUUGCUGGUAAUCCCUGUGCUCAGCUGCUGGCAGUUUCCUGGCAGAUGCUGGGCUCUUGGCACAGAGUCAAACCCUCUGAAGUUGCAAAACAGGCUCAGCUGUUGUGUACUUUCAUUUUUAAAGCUCCUGCUAUCUCUUCCUUACUUGCAUCUCAGGCUGCGCCCAGUCACCCCCCCCCCCCUUUUCGGCGCUUGGCAAGAAAGCAGACAACUGGUGUUACAAAAUGUUUGGCUUCCUUCCUUCCCUGCAUCACUGAGAGCCCCACCCAGCAGCUGGGACGUUAUUUAGGGCGAUAAAACUCCACGCACGCCUGCCGAACGCAACAGGUUCAUUCGAGUACUGUCUGUCUCCUACAAAGCUCCCUUACUUGUGUUAUUUCAGAAACCUCAACACAGCCAGGAUCAAAUCAAACAGGGCAUUUUUGCUAAUCUGAAAACACGAUUUUGUUUCUCCAUCCCACUAGAACAUUAGAGAGAAACUGGACAUUGGUCCUGUGUCUUCCGAUAUAAGUAAGGGACAGUAAAGGGAGGCUGAAUGAAGGCUGCUAUUUGGGGACCCUUUCUGUUAGGAGAUGCCUAUUAAUCCCAGCCCACUUGUUAAACAGAGGUAGGGUGUAGUGAGAAAAGUGUCUGGACCUUUUUCAACCUGAAUCCAUUUUGCUAGACAUAUUAGCAUUGCUGUGUUUUAGGGCACUUGAAAAACAGUUAUCCAAGGCUAUAGGGUGUAGGCAUAGUUCAGCCUCCGAGUUCUGUGUCUACAUCCAAGGGGAAAUGGGCUGAAAACAAAAAGAGAAGCUCUCUCCACUGUCUUCUGCACUAGGAUGGAUAAGUAUGUGAAGAGAAGUAGAACUGGUACAAUUCUACCCUGUUUCUCUAGUUAGGUAAAAGUUUUCCCCUGCCUGACAUUAAGUCUAGUCAUGUCCGACUCUUGGGGUUGGUGCUUAUUUCCAUUUCCAAGCCAAAGAGCUGGCAUUGUCUGUAGACACCUCCAAGGUCAUGUGGCCGUCAUGACUGCAUGGAGCGCGUUACCUUCCCGCUGGAACGGUACCCAUUGAUCUACUCACAUUUGCAUGUUUUCGAACUGCUAGGUUGACAGAAGCUGGGGCUAACAACAGGAGCGCACUCCGCUCCCUGGAUUCAAACCACCAGUCAGCAAGUUCAGCAGCUCAGCGGUUUAACCCACUGCGCCACUGGAGGCUGUUUCUCUAGGCAACUGCAAGCGUUCAAGACAGUGAGUGACUGCAGAUGAAACAGUAUGGAAUUUGCUGGUGUUGGCAUAGACUGCUUUUAGAGUGAGAUGACACAGGUUCAGACGCUUUUCUCUGAUAGAGCCAACCCUUGUGUUCUCCAUCCCCAACUUCCUUUCACAGGGCAUUUUAACGUUAGGAAUGAAAGGAAAAGCUAAAAAUGAUCCUAUUCGUAUAAGCUUUUCUAUAUUAUUUUAUGUAUUUAUUUAUUUAUUUUUCAAACUUAUAUGCCGCCACUCCCCUAGGGCUCAGCUAAUCUGAAACAAGCAGAAGGAAAAGGUGGGAAACCAAAACCUACUUUUUUUAAAAAAUGAAUUUCCUUAACUAUCUUAUUUUUUUUCCCCUGUGAGAUGGGGAAAAAAAUGAAAGAUAUCAUUUGUGAUGUGAGAAUUCACUCUCAAAGCCAUCAUUUGAGAAUUAGACUAGGACUCUAGAGAGCAAGCUGUGAAUCUGCUCAGUCAUGGAAACCCAUUGGCCGCAUCACUCUCUUAGCUGCAGAGGAAGGCAAAGGCAAAUCCCCUUUUAACAAACCUUGCUAAGAAAACCCUGUGAUAUGCUCAUCUUCAAGUCAGAAAUGGCUGGAAGGCACACAAGAAAGAGCUGUGAAGCUGGGUUGUUGAGUCUUUCAGGCUGUAUGGCCAUGUUUCUGGAACAUGGCCAUACAGCCCAAAAGAUUCACAGCAACCCAGUGAUUCCAGCCAUGAAAGCCUUCGACAAUAUAGCUAUGAAGCUCUUUGGUAAGCGCUGCGCCUAAUUUUCACGCAGGGAAAAAAGGGAAAUCCACAAAUGUUGUCCUUUAAUCUUUGGAAAGUGCAGAAGAGAUCAACGUAAGCAGAAAGCACCCGAGAGACUGCAAAUGCCUCCUGCCAGAAUCCAUGACUACAAUGUACUGAAGGGGGUCAAAGUACUUCCUUAUUAUCACAGGGAUGUACUUUAACCCUGACAGUUGCUUGGGAUUAUAUCAUUUUAAAAGGUGUUUCCAUGAAUCCUAUAAAGUGGGGAAUUAUUAGUUCCUCAGAUAUUUUUAUCUCCCAAAAGUCAGAAAGGCUGGGAGUUGGAAUCCACACGAUUUAGAGGGCCAAAGAGUUAUACAGAAUGGGUGUUAAUCUUAUAAAGUUUAAGUUUUUUUUCCCGAGGCAAGAAGCAGCAUGCAAACCAGACUUGCAGCUGAAAAAGGUCCUUUAUAUUAAGUGCAGGGUUAUGGUGUGAUGCAAAUCCCUCCCACUAAUAAGUGAUGUAAGAGCAGUGAUUCAGUUCCCAGCAUGUUCUUGGUAACUUUUCCUUCACACGUUUUGUGGUUUCUAAGUUUUGGAAACUGGUGCUCAGCAAAGCUUUGCAAAGACCCACAUAUAUUUCCUCAGGGGCUGUGUCCUCAGAAAGCAAAGGGUGUGUGUGUGUUGAUACUCGCUUCUGUGAAAAAUUCUCCAGGACACCAUAUCAGUCAAUAACAAAUAGAUUUAAAGUUUUUAAUAAUUAAAUUAAUCAUUCCAUAAAACAAACCCUUGCAAAUCACAAUAAAUAGAAUAAAAAUUUCCCUCCUUUAAAAUCUACUAUAUACACAGCUCAGAUCCACAAAUUCAUUACGGGGAACAAGCUGCCACAACAAGCCUUAAACAUUUUAGUCAAAGAUAACAGAUUCAGCACACUUUUUGAUACAUGUAUGAGGCCAGGGAUAACUGCCAAAGACCAAGGUGAAAACUAGAAAUGGCUUAAAGACUACAAGAUGUCCCUGGGUUCACAGGUGGGGGUCUUAAAAGAAAGAGAAUCCAGUAUAGAUAAGAUGCUACAGAGAGAUGAAAGUGAUGCCAAGAUAAAGGUCCUCUCUAGAGGCAGGAAUAUAUCAUGGAAUUGUCUUCUAGUAAUUCUUUCUAGCACUGUUGCCAUCCCAUCCUGGUACACAAGGGAAUAAGGCUCCUUCCACACUGCCAUAUCAUCCAGAUUAUCAAAGCAGAUAAUCCACAUUAUCUGCUUUGAACUGGAUUAUAUAAAUCUACACUGCCAUAUAAUCCAGUUCAAAGCAUGAUAAUUGGAUUUUAUAUGGCAGUGUAGAUGGAGCCAAAGUGAAACAUAUCAGAUGAUUUGUAA